rnacentral:rRNA from 1 species
GAUGAACGCUGGCGGCGUGCCUAAUACAUGCAAGUCGAGCGAACAGACGAGGAGCUUGCUCCUCUGACGUUAGCGGCGGACGGGUGAGUAACACGUGGAUAACCUACCUAUAAGACUGGGAUAACUUCGGGAAACCGGAGCUAAUACCGGAUAAUAUAUUGAACCGCAUGGUUCAAUAGUGAAAGACGGUUUUGCUGUCACUUAUAGAUGGAUACGCGCCGCAUUAGCUAGUUGGUAAGGUAACGGCUUACCAAGGCAACGAUGCGUAGCCGACCUGAGAGGGUGAUCGGCCACACUGGAACUGAGACACGGUCCAGACUCCGACGGGAGGCAGCAGUAGGGAAUCUUCCGCAAUGGGCGAAAGCCUGACGGAGCAACGCCGCGUGAGUGAUGAAGGUCUUCGGAUCGUAAAACUCUGUUAUUAGGGAAGAACAAAUGUGUAAGUAACUAUGCACGUCUUGACGGUACCUAAUCAGAAAGCCACGGCUAACUACGUG